GGUAAGAUGGCUGAGUGAAGCAUUAGACUGUAAAUCUAANGAUAGAGGUUNAUAAUCCUCNUUUUACCA
rnacentral:tRNA from 1 species